AACGUUUGACUGAAAAUUUAGUAAGAGAUACGCUAACUAUAUAAAUUGGGCAAAAAUAUACUUAUGUGUGAAAGAGCAUUGUCAUUAAAGUAAAUUAUCAGUUUUUUGUUACUAUCAAAUGGCAUUAACGAAACUAAAAGACUAAGUUUAGAACUAAAAGUAAAAGCAGCUUUAAAUUUUAAUUUUAUAUUAGAAUAAAAGUUAUUUUGAAGUGACUCUGACAGUUGGUUUUAGAUCAUCCGAUGUAAAUUCUUUUAAUUUCGUCCAGGUUACUGCAGUGCAGUGCAACUGCAUGUAAAUAUGCAAUUUAAUUUAUUUGUUCUUUGAUCAAGACAUUAUGUAAUUGUUACGUAAUUUAACACAGUUCAGUAUUAUAUACCUUUUUAGAGGUUAUAAUACUAAUACAAACAUAGAAAAUUAAAACAUAUAAGAAUUUUAAUAUCAAUAUCAUUAUUAUCAAACUAUAUGAUUAUGAGGCCUAUAAUUUAGAAACUACAAUUUAAACUUAAAGGAAGUAUUAUAAUAAUCAUUAAUAUUGCUUCCUGCCUGUGUACUGUGUCAGGAGUAACAGUAACAGCAUUAUAUCAGAUUUGACAUGGAGCAAGAGGAAAUGCAGAUUAACUGUUGAACUAGCAAUGCACCAAUGGCUAGCCUGGUGGGGAGUGUUGGAAUCCCUCCACAACCCAGUACUGGCUUCUUGCGAAAAUGUGCAAAGGAGCAGGAAAAAUUACGCACCAAACUUGAGAGGAAGUUGCAGAAUGACAUGCUUAAGUUGUUAGAUGAAGGAUCAUUCUCUGAUAUCGUUAUCAAGUCAUCAGUUUUACAAACACCUUUAUCAGUUAAAGCUCACGAGGGCAUACUAAGAGUUCGGGUGCCGACAUUUUACACUGAACUUUGCCAUAAUCAAAAGAAUAGAAAUGAUAUCUAUGAUUCUAAUCUGGAUAAUGUGGAAUUAUUGUGUUUUUUAAGGAAGGUUUACUCAGAAGAUGACAUCAGAAGAUAUGAAUGUGAGGCUGUUUGGUUGAGCAAGAAGUCUUCAGAAGCUGAGAAGUUGAGUAGUGUUGUUUCUCCAAUGCAACAGACAUUUUCUACGUCUAAAGUUGAUGAACAAGACAAUGUUGUAGUUUCUAGUGGCUACUUAUCAUCAAAUGGUGAUAUUUAUAUAACACCUACAUGUAGUCCACUGUCUCCAGAGAAAAAAGCCAUUUGUGUGCCUGAAGAAGUUCUCAAAACGACAGUCACUCAACAGGAAUCAAAGAGAGAUGUACACAGUGUGACUUCACUUCAUGAAUUACACCUAGUCAUGGAAACCAAAGAUAAUGAGAAGCUAGUCAAAGAAUGUAAUAUUUUAAAUGAUGACAGUUGCACUGCUUGGAGAAUCAACGUACCUGAGCAAGAAAGUAGGAAAGAGUUAAACUCAGCUGGAGCACCUUCUCAAGAUCCGUUUACUUCAAAGGGAUUGUCUUCUGAGGUAUGUUUAGAGGCAAGCAUUGAAAGCUCCGUACUGUCCUCUGGCCACGUUGAAUCUUCUGUAGAUAACUUACAAGAUAGACAGUACAUUCCUCAAAUUAGAAAUUACAGUAUACCCAGAAGUGACACUUUUGAACUCAAAAGUUCUUCUCAACAACAAAACUCAACUGAAUCUCUGAUAGAAAAAGAAGAUGACAUCAUAGCUCCUCUGUCUGACAGCUUAGACACAAAACUAAAAACGGAGCAGAAAAAGGAGUCCUUUUUCCUUCAUGAGCAGACAAGUAUCUUGACAGAUAGAGUUGAAAUAAAUGAACCUAGUGUAGUAACUACUCAUGCACGAACUUUUUCAGGUCAUCAUGUUGAUGGAGGCAUGACAGACUCUGGUUUUAUGUCUCAAACCCAGUCUUUGAUGUCUGAUACAGACAUGCAUUCUUCCCUAAUAUCAUCAGUGAUGACGUGUACAUGCAUGAAACCUUCCCAUAAUGAAAAAGUAAUUGAGAAUAUAUCUGAAAACAAACCAUUGUCUUCUUCAGUAUGUUCAGGAUCACUGUUUCCAAUGUAUAUUGACAUGAAAAGUGUUGUUCCACAGGAAAGUGUUACAGGUAAAACACAGAAGCAUCAGAAACAGCAAGGUGUAUACAUGUACAUAGAUGCUACUCCUACUGGUGUUGAUGAUACACAAGAAGAUUCCUCCCAAGAGUUCCAGAAGACUUCAAAUGUAGCUGCAAUUAAAAGACAAAAUGUAAUAAGUCAAGAAAAAGCUAAUGGAAAAAGUUCACGGUCUGAAAAGGUUAACUCGUGUUACAUGUAUGUAGACCUUGAUUCAAUUACUUCAGAAGAUGCUGAGAAAUUACAAGAAACUCAACAGAAAAACAAAGAAAAGAAGAAUCCGAUGUCAGUAUCCAUGUUUGUUGAAAUAAAUGGAGAAAUGAAUGAUAGUGUGAGAGCUGCACAGGAAAUGUACAGUAGUCUUAUUGACCAAAACACUGGAAAGUUGGAAGAAGGUGGACUUCUCAAUGAAGCUGUCUCAGUGCCUCAAGAAUCACUGUCUGGAAAGGUUCACCAACAAGAAAAACAAAUACAGUUAAGUCCAAUAAAGCACCAGGAACCUGUACCGUCAACAUAUUUACAGUCAGAAAAGAAAGAAGAAAUUACAAGUGAAUCUGAGACACAACACGAAGAACCUGAUGCUUUUGUCAAGAUUGUAAACACAUAUCAGACAUACUUAUUACCAAUGAGCCCAAUAAUGAAACGUAAGGAAGUAAAACAAGAGACAGUGAGUUCAUCACCUGAUCAUAUAGUUGUCAAACCUUCAAUAAAACCACAGGAUGUCACUGCUUUAGCUUUUCCUGUGAGUGGUCCUGUACUGGCUUCAAGAUCUCCCAGCAGGGACUCUUUGGAAGAAACCUGUGGACAAAAAAUUGAACAGAGUGACACAAAAGAAUAUAGUUGUGAAGGUGAUAAGAAUCAAUUGAAAAUUGUUGAAACUAAGAAAAUCCAACAAAAAGCUGAGAUUAAGCAUGAAAAAAAGAAAUCAUUUAAAGAAGAUUCCUACAUAGAUACUGAAAUUUUUGAGACAAAAUAUUCAAGCUUGAAAGAUUUAACUAAAGCAACAAGUCAGUUUGCAGAUGAUGGUAAUUCAGAGCAACAACUUACAAGUGCUGUACUACCCUUACAUCAGAACCAAAAAAACUUAAUAUGUACAAAUGAAGUAUUAUUGAGAAGCCCUGCUGAAGAGCUAGUCAUUGCUGGUACAAAGCAUGAUGACACAGGUAUUUCUGGGCAAGAAGUAGUGAAACUUGUAUCUGCAAAUGAGCAGUCACUUAUGGUACCAGGUUUGCAGUUACCUUCUGUUGAAGAGGUAAGAAAUGCAAAUAAUUUUGAAACUAAAGAAAACUUUAAAGGAUCAGCUGAAGCUAUUACAGAUCUUACUUCAGAAAAUGAACAAGUGUCAAAUAAAGUUCUAAAAGAAUCAGUAACUUUACCUUUGAAAUCUUCAGAUGGUGCUUUAGAUACACCCACAAAAUCUUUAACAUCCAGAUCUUCAAAUGAAUCAGUAAAUGUAGAUUCUCAAAUUUCACUAGAAGCAUUGGAUCCACGAACAAAAUCUUCAGGUUCAAAAAUUGCUGAGGAAAUGAUAAAGUCUGCAGUAAACUGUGUAGUUUCUGGAAUCCCAGAUAAACGUGAAAGUUGGCCUAAAACAUCAUCAGAAUCAAGAACUUUGCAGGAACAUGUAAAUGCUGAGAAACAGUCUGAUUCUAUUGAGAAGCCACAUUUGGUAAACCAAAAUUCUGAUCACCAAAGGGAAUCUAUUCAAACCACUGUUGACAAUUUGGAAAAAAGUCUGCUCUAUUCUCCUCCUCCUCGGCCAUCAGUCUGUGAUGUUGAAGAUGAUUCUGAGACUAUUUACUCAGAAGUGUCUGAUGUAAGUUCAUCUAUUUUAGGACCAAUUAGUUUCCACACAUUAUUAGACAGAAAUUAUCCCCAAGACAGACACAGCUCAGAAACAGAAGGAUUAACUAGUUAUAAAGGCUAUGAUGCUUGUUCUAAACUGGGUGAAGACUUACUCCGAAUGUUCUUGGAAGAAAUAAACUCCGAUGUUGUUAUCAGAGUAGGAGAUAAAGAUAUUAGGGCCCACAAGUGUAUCUUGGUGACUCGGAGCAAAUACUUUGAGGUCAUGUUGAAAGGGGAUUGGAGUGAAAGUACAAAUGACAUCAUCACGCUAAAAGGGUAUAGCUAUUCAGCAGUCCAUUUUGUUCUGUGUCACAUAUACAGUGGAGCUAUCAAUUUGCCAAAGGAUGUCAACAUUGCUGAGUUAGCCCAACUCUCUGAUAUGUUAGCCCUGGAUAGCUUGAAGGAGGUGGUGGUUUUCAAUUUGAAAAUGAAUUAUUGUCACUUUUUUCACAAGCCUUGUAAUCAUUGUAUUGUUGGAGUGGCAGAAUGUUUGCCCCUCACAGCCACAUGUGGGUUACAAGAGCUGCAGAACAAGGCUAUCCAUUGGAUCGGGAAGUAUUUCGUCAGGAUAUGGACACAAAAAGCAUUUGCUACUCUUCCAAAUGACUUCCUCGAGAAAUGUUACAAAAGUGCUCUUCAGAAUUUAACAGUUGAAACAACAGUGGAGAUGCUGCUUAGUUGUGAUCGUCUGAUGACUUCACUGCCACAUAUUAAGUGGGCUGAACCGGUUUUUGGCUUAGUGACACGUCUGAUUGAAGAUUCUAUAAGUUUUACGGCUCUCAAUUUUGAUAAAGUGUUGACUAGUGAUGGAUUUUUAGCUUUAGGAAAGGGCCUGAGUUGGAAUGUGACAGCUGUAGAGGACAAUAUUUGUACAGCGGUAGAAAAGUUGACUCCAAAUGUUGCUUGCAGUACCUAUGUACAAUUGAGUCAUCUGUUACCCAUGGCAGAGUCACAGAACUCCCAGGGAUUAGGGGAUUGGACACAGCUGCAGUUAUUGUAAUUGAAUUUGAAAAGCCAACAGCACCACCACCACGAUUGUCAAGUUUACUGCAGAAAUCCAAGAAGACGCGAGGAGGAGGAGAUGGCUUAGAUUCCGGUGAUAAAUAUGCUACGUAUCCUGUUAAAUCAAAAGAUAAGUUGAAAAAUGAACCUAAACAGGGAAAGGAACUGUUGCCUAAGCAAGACACUACAUUAGUUCCUUUUAAAAAAAACGAGUUUCCUGAUGAGCAGUCAAAAAACAGAAAUGAUAUGACAUCCACUGUUGGGACAGUCCCUGCGAGUUCUCUAACGGAAUGGUCGAUGACUAAAUCCUGUCAUGAUCAAGAAGUAACUAAAAACUUGAAGAAUAAA
rnacentral:misc_RNA from 1 species